UGCUCCCACACUUGCCGGUUUAAGUCGGCCUCUAUCUACAGUUGACCCUGGUCUGACCUCGCUCUCUGGAAUGCUCUGCCUGCCUCUGACUUUCAAGGCAUGUCAACAUGCACUCCGAUGGCAUUCCUGAAGGGAUCUCUUUCUCCUGAGCUCUUGAAAGAAUCCUGCUUCAGCAACUCCCAGGAAGACAGAUGGAUUCUCAUAGCUGCGUCUGCAUUCAGCGUGUGGUGACAUCACAUAUCGUGUAGCCUUCCGGAAACCCCGCUGUGCACUUAUGAGAGAACAAGAGUGAAAAAGAGAAAGAAGGGAUGGCUUCUGUCUCGACAACUCCUCCAGCCUCUGUCACUGCGGGAGCUCACCCGUCCUCACCUCGACACGGCUGGUGUAGAGACUUCGCCGCCGCCAGCCUCCCUGCACUCACGCCGCCGCUAAGAAGCAGGCACGAGGCUCUGUAGGCCUCCAUCUUUCUCUCCCAUCUUCCAGGGACCCAGGCCACGUUCCCAACAACCUUCCCGCUGGCUCUGCUCAGCCACCCUGGGUCGCUCCUGAGAGUCUUCCCAGCACAACCAAGCUUCCAGCCAGGGCCAGGGACCUAAUUUUCAGGACCCAGUGCAAAAUGGAAAUGAAGGGUCCUUUGUUCCAAAAGCAAGAAAGAGUACAGUUAAAGGCACUAAGCUAUAAAGCUUUUUCCUUUAAAAAUGUUUUAUUAGUUAUAAAAUGUGGACAAGAAAGCUACAUGAGUAGCAAUGUAGCUUACAAAUAGCAAAAAAUACCAUUCUGGGGUCAUAAUUUUAUCUAAUGCAAUAAUUUGCUAAUGUGAUAUCUUGAUUGAUCAUUAGGAUUUUUUGGCUCACUUUUCUG